CCUACGGGUGGCUGCAGUGGGGAAUAUUGGACAAUGGGCGAAAGCCUGAUCCAGCCAUGCCGCGUGUGUGAAGAAGGCCUUCGGGUUGUAAAGCACUUUCAGUGGGGAAGAAAGCCUUGGGGCUAAUACCCUCGAGGAAGGACAUCACCCACAGAAGAAGCACCGGCUAACUCCGUGCCAGCAGCCGCGGUAAUACGGAGGGUGCGAGCGUUAAUCGGAAUUACUGGGCGUAAAGCGCGCGUAGGCGGUCUGAUAAGCCGGUUGUGAAAGCCCCGGGCUCAACCUGGGAACGGCAUCCGGAACUGUCAGGCUAGAGUGCAGGAGAGGAAGGUAAAAUUCCCGGUGUAGCGGUGAAAUGCGUAGAGAUCGGGAGGAAUACCAGUGGCGAAGGCGGCCUUCUGGACUGACACUGACGCUGAGGUGCGAAAGCGUGGGUAGCAAACAGGAUUAGAUACCCGAGUAGUC
rnacentral:rRNA from 1 species